rnacentral:tRNA from 1 species
GGUGGCUUAAUGGUAGAGUGCGUGCCUAGCAUGCAUGAAGGCCUGGGUUCGAUUCCUCAGUACCA